rnacentral:rRNA from 1 species
GACGAACGCUGGCGGCGUGCUUAACACAUGCAAGUCGAACGGAAAGGCCCUGCUUUUGUGGGGUGCUCGAGUGGCGAACGGGUGAGUAACACGUGAGUAACCUGCCCUUGACUUUGGGAUAACUUCAGGAAACUGGGGCUAAUACCGGAUAUGAGCUCCUGCUGCAUGGUGUGGGUUGGAAAGUUUCGGCGGUUGGGUAUGGACUCGCGGCUUAUCAGCUUGUUGGUGGGGUAGUGGCUUACCAAGGCUUUGACGGGUAGCCGGCCUGAGAGGGUGACCGGCCACAUUGGGACUGAGAUACGGCCCAGACUCCUACGGGAGGCAGAAGUGGGGAAUAUUGCACAAUGGGCGGAAGCCUGAUGCAGCAACGCCGCGUGCGGGAUGACGGCCUUCGGGUUGUAAACCGCUUUCGCCUGGGAAGAAGCGUGAGUGACGGUAAUGGGUAAAGAAGCACCGGCUAACUACGUG